AAGUCGUAACAAGGUUUCCGUAGGUGAACCUGCGGAAGGAUCAUUAGAGAGAGCGCCCGCGCAAGGGCGAAGAUGAUGCAUGGGGCGGAAGCCGCAUGUGUUGUUGGCCAGUGUUGCGAUUGAGAGAGUGCGCGAGCUUGGUGGGUGGAAACCCACCACUCGCUUCCAUUAUCAACCCAAUGCAUAUGAUCCAACGAAUCCACAUUAACCACAUUACAACUGUUGGCAACGGAUCACUCGGCUCUC
rnacentral:misc_RNA from 1 species